GCCCAGGUAGCUCAGUUGGUAGAGCAGAGGACUGAAAAUCCUCGUGUCGCUGGUUCGAUUCCGGCCCUGGGCACCA
rnacentral:tRNA from 2 species